rfam:Drosophila erecta clone DERF01_37_F17 (D1421) genomic sequence.
UGAUAAUGGCCAAAAAUUGGAGACUGACACAUGUUUUUGUACAUAUAGUAGUUAAGAUC